AUUGAACGCUGGCGGCAGGCCUAACACAUGCAAGUCGAACGGUAACAGAAAGCAGCUUGCUGCUUUGCUGACGAGUGGCGGACGGGUGAGUAAUGUCUGGGAAACUGCCUGAUGGAGGGGGAUAACUACUGGAAACGGUAGCUAAUACCGCAUAACGUCGCAAGACCAAAGAGGGGGACCUUCGGGCCUCUUGCCAUCGGAUGUGCCCAGAUGGGAUUAGCUAGUAGGUGGGGUAAAGGCUCACCUAGGCGACGAUCCCUAGCUGGUCUGAGAGGAUGACCAGCCACACUGGAACUGAGACACGGUCCAGACCCCUACGGGAGGCAGCAGUGGGGAAUAUUGCACAAUGGGCGCAAGCCUGAUGCAGCCAUGCCGCGUGUAUGAAGAAGGCCUUCGGGUUGUAAAGUACUUUCAGCGGGGAGGAAGGGAGUAAAGUUAAUACCUUUGCUCAUUGACGUUACCCGCAGAAGAAGCACCGGCUAACUCCGUG
rnacentral:rRNA from 1 species